rnacentral:misc_RNA from 1 species
UUUCCGUAGGUGAACCUGCGGAAGGAUCAUUAUUAUAUAACCUAUGUGCGAGGUCUGUCGCUUACCCUACACGUCGUGCACGCUCGAAUUCCCUCACACACAUCCAUCUCACCCCCAUGUGCACCACCGCUUGGGUCCCCCUUGUGCUUAUUCUGUGAGGGACUUACGUUUUAACACAAACUUUUUAUGCAGUGUAGUAUGUGUUUUUGGUUUUUUCGAUAACGCAAUCAAUACAACUUUCAACAACGGAUCUAUAUGUUCUCUCAUCGAUUAAGAACG